GUAGGGCCCAAGCCAGCCAGGAAGGAGGAGGCAGCCAGAGUGUUCUCUGCAGCAGAAGACCCCUUGCUGCCCUGCUUAACCCAGACCAGCAUUUGCCAGAUUUUAAAGGCACUGGAUCAGGCCAGACAUUCGGAGGAAUUUCCUGCCUAUGAGAGCUGUUUGAGAGUGAAACGGUCUGCCUUGUGGAGUGCUGAACUCACCUUUUUCUUUUCUCUUUUUUGAUUGAUUGAUUGAUUGAUUGAUUAAAUUGAUUGAUUGAUUAA